AGUCACAGACUGCAUCUUUGGCAAAUUUGCAGGUAACACUAAUCCAUGGGAGUGGUUGAAUAUGGCCAAGAUUCAAUCCAGGGGGACCUUGAUAAACCUGAGGAUGAGACCAAUAGAAACCUCCUGAAACUCAUUAAGUAGUGCAGUUUUCCAGCUGGGGCAGAAUCACACUGUGUGGACAGGGAAGUGUCUCAGCAGCAGCCCUGCUAGGGAGGAUGUGGGGGUUUUGUGAGAAGCAGUUUGACUCUAAAGCAGCAGUGCUUUCUCAUCCUGAGGAAAGCAAAUCCCAGAGUGGGCUGCAUUAGGAACAUUGUGUCUAAGAGACUGAAAGAAGUUACCCUCCUGUACUUGGGGCUGCUGCAGUCACACCUGGAAUACAGUACUGUAUUUUGGGCUCUGCAGUUCAAGUUGGAUGUGGAGAAACUGGAGUGUGUCCAAUGAAGCGCUACCAAAGUGGCGCGUGACCUAGAGCACGUUACCUGGGCUACAAGCUCCCAACAAGUAGAGGACAAUGACCUACCCUUACAUGUUCCACCAUUUCCUAUCUACACUUCCCUCAAGCCCUCUGCUCCUUUGGUCAGAAUGUGUCUGCCCAUAAAGAGUGGAAAGCAGCAUGGAGUUAGAGGUGCUGCAGUGGAAUAUCCAAGCCUCCUGUGUAAACACACCUUUUUGAAGCUCAGCAGUUACCACAGUCUGUCCCACCAGCUGAACUGAUAGUUGAACUGUAGUCCAACUUGAUGCCCGAGGAUUAUGUUAUCAGUAGUUCCUAAACUGUAUGAAAUUGGUGGCUGUUCCUUGUUUAAACUAAUGACAAGAAUUAACUUUGCUCAAUGAAACAGGUGAGCUGAAGCUUUCUCACCUGUUUGGGGACUUUGUGGUCUAUCUAUUUCUUUCACCUAAGUUUCCUAUUGCACCUCUUUCUGACAAUGUUUCUUUUGUCAAAUCACAAUAAAUUACAGUAAAUAUCUCUUCA